rnacentral:tRNA from 1 species
GCGACAGUAGCUCAGUUGGUAGAGCACUAGCUUCCCAAGCUGGGGGUCGCGGGUUCGAGUCCCGUCUGUCGCUC